UGGGGAAUAUUGCACAAUGGGCGAAAGCCUGAUGCAGCGACGCCGCGUGAGGGAUGACGGCCUUCGGGUUGUAAACCUCUUUCAGCAGGGACGAAGCGCAAGUGACGGUACCUGCAGAAGAAGCACCGGCUAACUACGUGCCAGCAGCCGCGGCAAUACGUAGGGUUCAAGCGUUGUCCGGAAUUACUGGGCGUAAAGAGUUCGUAGGCGGUUUGUCGCGUCGUUUGUGAAAACCAGCAGCUCAACUGCUGGCUUGCAGGCGAUACGGGCAGACUUGAGUACUGCAGGGGAGACUAGAAUUCCUGGUGUAGCGGUGAAAUGCGCAGAUAUCAGGAGGAACACCGGUGGCGAAGGCGGGUCUCUGGGCAGUAACUGACGCUGAGGAACGAAAGCGUGGGUAGCGAACAGG
rnacentral:rRNA from 1 species